rnacentral:lncRNA from 1 species
UUCAGUCCCUCGUUGAUCAGGUCCAUGAUAGAGCUGUUGCUGAACUGGUGGUUGUCGGUAUUAUGGACGAAGGAGUUGUAGAGCUCAAAUGGGAAGUUCUCUUCGGGCCUGAAGUCCGAGGAGGUUGGUUGUCUUUUUCGAGCAAGUUUGGGUGAUCGUACCACUUGUUCUUCGGGCUCUUCGUCAGAAACAACGAUUUCAACCAGGGAGGUUGGCGGAGGAUCGGUUUCUGUUAGAGGUACUUGUGGUCCUUCGGAGGCCGGAGAAUUUGCUUGGGUUUUCCUCUUUUUGACGCGAAAGAUUCGGGUCCGUUCGUCAGAGGGCAUAUCGAGGAGGCACUCGGUGUGAUUUUGCGUGGGGGUGUGUUUGGGUUUUUGGCCAGCUUGCUUUCUUCGGCGAGGUUGGCUUGUCCCUUCAAUAGGAGU